rnacentral:rRNA from 1 species
AGAGUUUGAUCAUGGCUCAGAUUGAACGCUGGCGGCAGGCCUAACACAUGCAAGUCGAGCGGUAACAGAAAGAAAGCUUGCUUUCUUUGCUGACGAGCGGCGGACGGGUGAGUAAUGCCUGGGAAUAUACCCUGAUGUGGGGGAUAACUAUUGGAAACGAUAGCUAAUACCGCAUAAUCUCUUCGGAGCAAAGAGGGGGACCUUCGGGCCUCUCGCGUCAGGAUUAGCCCAGGUGGGAUUAGCUAGUUGGUGGGGUAAUGGCUCACCAAGGCAACGAUCCCUAGCUGGUCUGAGAGGAUGAUCAGCCACACUGGAACUGAGACACGGUCCAGACUCCUACGGGAGGCAGCAGUGGGGAAUAUUGCACAAUGGGGGAAACCCUGAUGCAGCCAUGCCGCGUGUAUGAAGAAGGCCUUCGGGUUGUAAAGUACUUUCAGUUGUGAGGAAGGCAGUUAAGUUAAUAGCUUUGCUGUUUGACGUUAGCAACAGAAGAAGCACCGGCUAACUCCGUGCCAGCAGCCGCGGUAAUACGGAGGGUGCGAGCGUUAAUCGGAAUUACUGGGCGUAAAGCGCAUGCAGGCGGUCUGUUAAGCAAGAUGUGAAAGCCCGGGGCUCAACCUCGGAACAGCAUUUUGAACUGGCAGACUAGAGUCCUGUAGAGGGGGGUAGAAUUUCA